rnacentral:ncRNA from 1 species
AAUUAUAGAAGCUAAGAAGUAUGAUUUGUAAAUGGGCACUUAAAUCAUAUGGAGCUAGUAGUGCAACCGGCUAUAUU